rnacentral:rRNA from 1 species
UGGCUCAGUGAGGCGUCCGGACUGGCCUAGGGAGGUCGGCAACGACCACCCAGGGCCGGAAAGUUCGUCAAACUUGGUCAUUUAGAGGAAGUAAAAGUCGUAACAAGGUCUCCGUAGGUGAACCUGCGGAGGGAUCAUU